rnacentral:rRNA from 1 species
AUUGAACGCUGGCGGCAGGCCUAACACAUGCAAGUCGAACGAGUGGCGGACGGGUGAGUAAUGUAUGGGAAACUGCCUGAUGGAGGGGGAUAACUACUGGAAACGGUAGCUAAUACCGCAUACCAUCGGAUGUGCCCAGAUGGGAGUAGCUUGUUGGUGGGGUAACGGCUCACCAAGGCGACGAUCCCGAGCUGGUCUGCGAGGAGGACCAGCCACACUGGAACUGAGACACGGCCCAGACUCCUACGGGAGGCAGCAGUGGGGAAUAUUGCACAAUGGGCGCAAGCCUGAUGCAGCCAUGCCGCGUGUAUGAAGAAGGCCUUCGGGUUGUAAAGUACUUUCGGCAGAGAGGCGGUACCUGCAGAAGAAGCACCGGCUAACUCCGUGCCAGCCGCCGCGGUAAUUC